GCGCUUCCUUUGGAAGCACAUAGGCUAAAACUGGAAUGAUCAGGAGAUUAACUUGGCCCCUGUGCAAGUAUGACACACCAGUUAGUGAAGCGUUGCAUGUUUUU